AUUCAAGGGAGGCAAAAUAUGGCUAGAAUUUUGAAGAAUGUUUAUACUAUCAUCCAUUUUCUUAUCAUCAAUUUUCUUUUACUAUUUCAUGUUCUCAACGUCAGACGUCAGACAGAGCCGCCUGGGCCUCUUAUUCCUUGCGAAUUUGACUAUGACUGCCCAUUAAUUGAUUGUAUUCGUACUUCCGAUUCGAGAUGUAUUAAUGGUAAUUGUCAUUGUCGCGAGUAGUUAAGCUGAAAAUUAGGCAAUUAUUGCUUGUAUUUGUUCCUUCCGUGGAUUUUGGUUUAGUUCCUCAAGAUGUUUGUUCUCUAUUUCAACUCUUAAUGAUAUUUCUCUAUAUGGGGUGUGAAGGUUAGGAGUGUCAAACCAUAUUUUGUAUUUUAUCUUUCUUAUUAGAUGUUUUAAUGAUGUAUUUUAUGUUUCUUAUUAGAUGUUUUAAUUAUGACAAAUUUACUUGAACAAAGAUCAUGUUGAUUUUGA